rnacentral:tRNA from 1 species
GGGGUUGUGGCUCAGCAUAGAGCACUUGCCUAGCAAGUAUGAGGCCCUGGGUUCAAUCCUCAGCACCA